CCUGGGACACACCUGAGGAGACCUCGCGCAGCUACGGGCGCUGCCUGCAGCUCCUCCUGGCCUCGCUGGCCCGGCCGGGCUCGCGCCUCUCGCUGAUGGUGGCCACGCACAACGAGGCCUCGGUCCUGGCCGUGCUGGACAGGCUCCCCAGGCCGCCCCCUGGUGGCGCCGUUUGCUUCGCGCAGCUGCUGGGGAUGGGCGAGAACCUGAGCCUGGCCUUGGGUGAGUGACCCCUGAGUGACCCCUGAGUGACCCCUG